GACGAGGUGCACAAACGUUAUUCGGAUUUACUGGGCUUAAAGCGUGCGUAGGCGGCCUGGCAAGUUGGGUGUGAAAUCCCUCGGCUCAACCGAGGAAUUGCGCCCAAAACUGCUGGGCUAGAGUGAGACAGAGGUGAGCGGAACUGAUGGUGGAGCGGUGAAAUGCGUUGAUAUCAUCAGGAACACCGGUGGCGAAGGCGGCUACACUGGGUCUCGU
rnacentral:rRNA from 1 species